rnacentral:ribozyme from 1 species
GCUGCUCAGAUGUGUUGUCUAUACGUGGUGUGCAGUAGGCUACGAGAACUAUUCUUGGAUAGAGAAAAA